CUGCAACAAUUUGGUCCAUCCCAAAUGGAGGCACUGAAACAUAUACGUUUAAGCAUAUUGAGGGACGAUAUGUCAACAUUGUUCUACCUGGGAUUUUUAAAAUUCUCAUUUUGUGUGAGGUUGAAGUAUAUAGCAGAUGAAGUGGGAUGAGAUGAAGAUUAAGCACCACAGUCAACUGAGAUCCUGGGAAAAAGACAGAGAAACCAAAAACAAAACAAAAUAACUUACAAUACUUUUCAGGCUGUGUAAAGUGCAUUACACAUAUCUGUGUUUUGAAUAAACUUGUUUUCAGUGUAUUGAAAAUCCACUUUUUAUGCUGAAGAGCUGUUGUUUUUCAGUACUAAAUAAAAAUGUGAGUGAUCUUA